UUUACCUUUUUUUAAUUUUUCUAAAUAGGCAACCAAAGACCGACGUAUCCUUCCUCCAAACCGAAGAGAGUAGAUUGGGAUAAACUAGAAGCUCAAGUGAAAAAUGAGGAAAAAGAAGAGAAACUAGAUGGUGAUGCAGCUUUGAACAAAUUUUUCAGAGACAUAUACACAGACGCAGAUGAGGACGCGAGAAGAGCGAUGAGCAAAUCUUUUGUCGAGUCAAAUGGGACAGUGCUAUCCACAAACUGGAAAGAAGUGGGUUCAAAGAAGGUGGAAGGAAGCCCUCCCGAUGGCAUGGAGUUGAAGCAAUGGGAAUACUGAAUUAUAGCUCUAUUUAUAUGUUUUGUGACGAUUGUGUGCUCGAACUUUUUCGUAGUUUUACUUGAAUCUAAGUCAAUUAUUUCUUUUUAUUAGUACAAAACUGUAUUUUCUGAACCAUUUAGGAUAGGCUAUGAACUUUGAAUAGUUGAUUAUUCUGGUGUGUGACAUUGAUGGUGAUUUUGUGUAUCUCUUGAUGCUGUUGGAUUGCCUUUCUAGAGAGAUUCGUGUA